GCUGGGCCUCGUGCUGCACAACUGUAUUCCCAGCUACUCAGGAGGAUGACGCAGGAGGAUUGCUUGAGCCCAGGAGGUCUGGGUUGUCAUACACUAAGCUUAUUGUGUGUCCUCACUAAGUUCAGCAUCAACACGGUGACCUCCUGGGAGUAGGGGACCACCAGGUUUCCUAAGAAGGAGUGAACCAGCCCAGGCUGGAAAUGGAGCAGGUCAGAACUCCUGUGCUGAUCAGUAGUGGACUGCACCUGUCAAUAGCCACUGCACUCCAGCCUGGGUAACACAGCAAGACCCCAUAUCA
ensembl:misc_RNA Metazoa_SRP Metazoan signal recognition particle RNA